rnacentral:rRNA from 1 species
GCCGCGGUAUUUUGACCGUGCAAAGGUAGCGUAAUCAUUUGUCUUUUAAAUGAAGACCUGUAUGAAUGGCUAGACGAGGGCUUAACUGUCUCCUUUUUCAAGUCAAUGAAAUUGAUCUCCCCGUGCAAAAGCGGGGAUAUACCCAUAAGACGAGAAGACCCUAUGGAGCUUUAGAUGCCACAGCAAGCAUAGCUGCUACAUCCAAAUAAAGGAUGUAUCCACUAGCUUCUGCCUCAACAUCUUCGGUUGGGGUGACCAUGGGGAACGAAAAACCCCCACGUCUCUGUACUGGAGUCUCUAUUAAACCUAACAAACUCUUUCAAACAAGAGCCGCCGCUCUACUUAACAGAAUUUCUGACCAUUGAUCCGGCAAUGCCGAUUAACGAACCCAGUUACCCUAGGGAUAACAGCGCAAUCCCCUUCUAGAGUCCAUAUCGAUAAGGGGGCUUACGACCUCGAUGUUGG